UAACCAUCAGGUUAAACUACAGAAAUGGUA
rnacentral:piRNA from 1 species